GAUGAACGCUGACAGAAUGCUUAACACAUGCAAGUCGAUGGGGAAGUGGUGCUUGCACCAUGGUAACCAUGGCGGACGGGUGAGUAACGCGUAAGGAACUUGCCUGCGGGACUGGGAUAACAGCAGGAAGCUGCUGAUAAUACCGGAUAAGGUCAUUAAGCUGCAUAGCUUAGUGAUGAAAGGAGACGCCUGCGGAGAGCCUUGCGUCCUAUUAGCUAGUUGGAGGGGUAACGGCCCACCAAGGCGAAGAUAGGUAGCCGGCCUGAGAGGGUGGACGGCCACAAGGGGACUGAGAUACGGCCCUUACUCCUACGGGAGGCAGCAGGGGGGAAUAUUGGACAAUGGGGGCAACCCUGAUCCAGCAAUUCUGUGUGCACGAAGACGGUUUUCGGAGUGUAAAGUGCUUUCAGCAGGGAAGAAGGAAGUGACGGUACCUGCAGAAGAAGCGACGGCUAAAUACGUG
rnacentral:rRNA from 1 species